GCAUAAUGCAGUAGCAACUGGAUUUGCAGCAGAAACACCCUGCUAAAGAACAAGUAUCUUGGUUCACAGCAAAGAGGACAAAGGAAAACAGCAAGUUAUAGGGAGUUGAAUGCUGGAUUACAUCAGGGAAAGGAGUUGAUUUCUACAUCUGUAUUGACCAAGGGCACAAUAAGAGCAGCAAGGAUAGGAGAGGAAGAUGAUCCACACACUGAAUUAAUUGAAAAGAAGAAAGGGUUCAGAGCCAAAGAUGAAUAGAAGUGGGCUGAAUGACUCAUAUGGCUGAGAUUUUGUACAACUUGACAGUAAAGACAGUGAGAUGAAAGACACUGAGCUAAUCUAGCAGAAGUAAACAUUGGGAGCAUCUGCAAGGCUGGAAGACAGUCAUCCCUCUACAAGAUGCUGAUAGCAUUUCACAACCUGCUCAACCACUUUCUUUCGGCCCAAUUUUGGAAGAAGAAAUAACUUAGAGCUGUUUGUUUCCUGACUUGGGAACUUGAUUUGAACCUUUGAAAUGAUUUAUUGAAAUCUUUGAUUUUUUUUAACUAAUGAUACCACUGUAGGAAAAGGAGAUUUGCUUAUAAAAUUCACCAAUUUGGUUCUGGUUAUCUCUGUUUCUUGCCAUCACAAGUAUCAUUGGUGAGAUCGCUAUUGAGCAUGGAAAUAAUUUGAGGAAAUAAAAUAGAGAGGUUUAUAAAAAAUCUAAAUGCCUAUAAAUUCUAAAGUAACUAUAUGGAAUAUUUUAGCCUUUAAACCAUUUGUUUUUUUAAGAAUAUAUCUUCCAACAUUUUUAGGUUUAAAAGCUAAAAUCAAAUUGAGAAGAUGAAAAGAAUAUUCUGUGAUUCUGUCUUUUCAUGGAUUUAUACAAAUAUAUUUUGUAAAAAUAAGAAACCACUCAAGUAAUGUGGAAUUAUGCUCUGAGUUUAUGCUGUACAGUCCCAAGACUGUUAUCAGAGGACAGUGUUUUUCUCCAUAUUGGUGUCCUUACAUACAGAAUAUGUGUACAAACAGAUGGACCAUAUUUAAUAGUCUGGUGACUGUAAAAAUUGAAUUUAUGGUUUUCCUUUAUGCAAAUAACAGUCAUCUAGAAAAUAUAAUGGGAAAAAGAUAUUAUUAAAAAUAGCAACAAAAAUUAAAAACCCAUAGCAAAGACCUUAAAAGAAGGGUCUACCCAUAUAGAAAAAACUACUAAAGUUCAUUGAGAGUCACACAGAUGAUGUGAAUAAAUGUCUUCCAAAU